CCCUUAGAUGUUCUGGGCCGCACGCGCGCUACACUGAUGCAUUCAACGAGUUUCUUCCUGGUCCGAGAGGAAUGGGUAACCUUUUGAAAGUGCAUCGUGAUAGGGAUAGACUAUUGCAAUUAUUGGUCUUCAACGAGGAAUUCCUAGUAGACGUAGUUCAUCAGACUGCAUCGAUUACGUCCCUGCCCUUUGUACACACCGCCCGUCGCUCCUACCGAUUGAAUGCUCAGGUGAGCCAUUCGGACUUUCCUCAUGCUGGUUUCCAGUUUUGAUGAAGGAAAGUCUUGCGAACCUUAUCAUUUAGAGGAAGGAGAAGUCGUAACA
rnacentral:rRNA from 1 species